rnacentral:tRNA from 1 species
GCGGGAAUAGCUCAGUUGGUAGACACGACCUUGCCAAGGUCGGGGUCGCGAGUUCGAGUCUCGUUUCCCGCUCCA